rnacentral:pre_miRNA from 1 species
AACAACAUCCUGACGCUGCUUGAGUGUGUGCUGCGGUCUCUACUCCAGCAUCAGUGAUUUUGUUCC